AUUUCAGUACACUAACAAGACUAUAAAUAGAGGAUUAAAUCUAUAAAAAUCAGUUUAAAUAUAGACACGGUUACCUUUAAAUUAUUGAUAUUAUGUCCCAGAAAGACGUUUAAACAUUCAUAAUUGGUAUUCGCCAUUUUGGAACUAGACACACGUUUAAAAGUGAGGAAAUAUAAUGGAUUCCAAUGGGUUGCUGUACAGGGGUUUGCUGCUACUUCUGAAACUUAUUUUAGCCUUUUUCGCUGUUUUAGCUCUGUGCUAUAUUUUUAUUAUCGUAACCAGAAAAUGAUGGAAAUGACUGAACUAUAGAAAAGCAAAGACUACAAUGGAUAAAAUCAAUGUGAUAACUACAAUACCGUGCUUGCUACUGGAGAUUCAAGUUGAGUGAAGAAAAAACACUGUAACAAUUGUUACAUGAUAAUAUAUGCUACAACAAACAACUUGUUUAGAUACUCUUUGUUUGAUGAGUCGGGGAAAUAAAUUGUUCUUGGAAAUAUUUCUUUUGUAUUUAUAGU